AGCUGAUGGUCUCAUCAUGGACUGUAGGGGGACCUCUAACUUUAAUAAUGUGAAUGUCUCUACAGUCUGAACCACUAAUUAGCAUGAUGUAUUCAGAUCAUCAGUCCCUCCCACUUCACUGACAUGUUGAAUAUGGUGGAACCUGCCGUGGUCUACUGAUUGUCAUCUAUUCAUCUAUGUGACACUCCUCUUGUUUUAUAUACAUUGAUACCAGACUCUUUCCAGCACUCUCACAUAUAACGUGAUCAAACAUGUUCACAUUUCUCUUCUCUGUUACUGUCUCACUGCUCUGUGCUGCAGGUCUUGUUGAGGGGAGUGAAGUCAAUCAGACACCCACCAUACUCUGGGGACCGAAAGACAGUGAUGCUCAGAUUAAUUGCAGUCACACUAAGGGAGCUACCUACAACCAGAUGUACUGGUACAGACAGCUUCCAGGAGAGGGAAUGAAGCAGGUAGUUUACACAAGUAGUUACAGCGAUCCAGAAUAUGGAGACUUCA